rnacentral:misc_RNA from 1 species
AAGUAAUUCUCCAACGAUCGCAGCACCCACGUCUGGAACACCGCUACCCCCUCAACCCCCGCCCCGUUCAAGAACUUCGCACAGCGCCCCACCUCUUUCUCUAUCUGUCUCACAUAAACGAAAUACGAAAAGAAGCAGCAGAGCUUUUUUUCUCUCUGUCCUUUGCAUACUCAUCCCAACUCACGUAGAGCGCCGCCUCCAUCCCUUUCCCUACCCCCAAGCUUACCGACUCAGCGCUGCCGCGCCGCCUUUCCCAACUCAGUAUCGCCAUAAACGGCUGUAGAAGGAGACGCGGGCACCGGCAGCACGGGAACGCAGAGCAAACUCUCACACCCCAGCCAUCACCUCGGCCACACAGUAGAAAGCAAGUCUUAUUUGUGAGCUCUUUGCCGUUGUGCAAGGCAGAUCUCUUUUAUUUUCCGUUGAGUGCCCUUCUGCUGCUGCAUCCCGUGCGUGCGUUUAUUUUGUGCUUGUAGGUGAGAGAUUCUCACUCGAUACGAACCCGUCCCGACAUUCCUCACACACACACACAAACCUCGUCGUCCUCUACUUUCCACAUCACCAGCCUCUCUCUCUCUCUUGCUACUCCCUCCGCUGCUGCCUGUUGCUCUGAUUGUUUCCUUUCAGAUCGUGUCCCUUUCUUCUCUGUGUUUGGGUGCAUGUGUGUCUCCUUCUGGCCCCACUUACUCUCUUAUUUGCUUCCCGUUGCUGUUGAACGACUGACAUCUACCAACACCACCACCAGCACCUUUUUUUCUCUUCGUUCUCGCGCUCUUCCAGGAAACGGCAAGGCAAACACGAGCGCACACCGUAAAGAAAGUACGCGGAAACCCUAAAAAGAGGUAGCAAAAGAGGCAGAAGAGAAAGAAGAAAACAACAACAUUGACAUCGACCACCACCACAAGCGAAAAAAAAACAAACAAAAAAGACCAGGUAAACCAGUUGGGUGCGAAGUGUGUGCAACUACUUACCUCGCGUGUGUAUUGGUUUUCUAAUUUGCUGUUCUACAUAUAUAUAUAUAUAUUCCAUCUUCGCUACCUUGCCUUGCGGGGACAUUCCUGUUGUUCUUUCUCAUUUCUUGUCUCCCUUUUUUGGACCUUCUGACUCGCUAUUUGUGUAUACCUCCUUCUACCGGAGCCGCCCUUCCCCACCUCGUUCUUCUCAAGCCCCGCUUUUUUUUUUGCCGUUGUUGUUUCCUCUGUCUUUCUCGUCUCCUUCACCUCUGUGCCCUCAUCGCGUUUGUUCUUUUUCUGUGGUGUUUGCCUCGCUCUCGUGUGCGAUCCCUUUUGUGCUUACUUGCUCUACAAUCACACGAAGCAGCAACACACCAUUACCCCCCUCCCUCCCUCCGUCCGACACUCUCUUCGCCUUUUAUUGUUUCUUUUAUUCUCUCAUCCUUCUCCUCCUCCGCUGUUUGUUGUAGUAGUUGGUUGGUAGGAUCUCUCUCUCCGUAUUUGUAUAUACACACACACACAUAUAUAUAUAUAUUAUACAUAUAUACAUCUAUUCCUUUUACAGACGCUUGUUUUCGCGCGCUCUCCUCUUCUUUACCCUCUUCUUUCUACGUCUUUUGGUUUUGACCGUUUUUGCGUGAGGGCCUUCUUCUCUCUUUUCCCUCCUCUCACACGCCCACUUUUGCACCUUCGCGCUCGCACCCUUCUCACGUGCGACCAUGCCACAGAUGACGGAGAACAUCUGCAGCAUGCAGGGCGCUGGUAACGCCGCGCCGCAGGCGCACAGCCCAUGCCACUCCGUAUCCUCUGCCCUCCCAGUUACCAACGGCCUGGUGUCCAAUGACCUCACCAACUCGUCCUUGUCGGAACACCCAUUAAGCGAGUCGAGUGGCGGCGUCUUAGCCCAGCCGCAGAUUUCCGGUAACGUUGCUGACUUCCAGAACUUUCUCGAUGAGCCGAGCAAUUGGGAGUGGGCAGUGAAUGCCCUAUCCGUGGAGCCAGGGCACAGCGACCGCAACAUCUUUGUCUCGAAGCUGCCGCCCACCUUCAAGGAUGCGGAUCUGCAGGAGCUGUUUCAGAACUUCGGCCCCGUGGUGUCGGCCAAGGUGAUGCUGAACGUGAAGACGGGUAUCUCCAAGGAGACGGGUUUUGUGAAGUUCACGAGCUACAAGGACGCGCUGCGUGCCCGCGCUUUCUUUCGACUCCGCCUGGCCUCCUCGCCGACCACGCCUGCAAUGCCGGAGGUGGUGACACAAUGGGCGCAGAACAAGCACGACGGCGGCCUCUACGGCGAGCGAUGCCAGCAGGUGCGCAAGUUGUUCAUCCGAAACGUUCCGGCGCGCAUCACGCAGGCGGAGAUGAGGGUGUUUGUCAGCCAAUUCGGAAAUGUGAGUGACGUGUCGGUGCACAGUGAUACGUAUGACGCCGCACCGGCCUCCUCCCCUGGGCGAGGGCGGCGCCUGAAGCAGAUUUCUCCUUCCGAGGGCACCGAAGGAGAGCAGGCAGAGGCGUCGCGGUCAGGCACUGAGCCGGAGGAGCACGAGACGAUCAUCUGUUUUGUGACCUUUGUGGAGGCGGGGGCAGCGAUGCGGGCGUGCCGCGAGAUUCACAACACAACGCCGUUCGAUUCCUGCAACGGAGUGCCGCUAAUGGCCAAGCUGGCUGAGGAUAACAGCUCUCGUCACGCCCGGCGCCACCACGGUGCAUCGGUGGCGAAGACUGUGCCCGCCUCGUGGGGCGCAUGCGCACCCUUGUGCGACGGCAGCAGCACCUACAGCAGCGCCUACAGCAGCGAGGCGCACACUCCCCUCACCGGUGCGGUCGGCUAUCACCGCGUCAGUCAUCCGUCUCAGGUGCCGGUGUCACAGCAUCUGCAGCAGCAGCAGCAGUACAGUGCCGUUUCCAACUGCGUCAUGCAGCCACACCCGCCGCCGAUGCUGUCGGCAAGUUAUUUGAACACAGACCUGUCACCUGUGUACCGCAGCCAGCCAUCGACGCCGAAAUACUCUUCGCAGAGUGCACAGCACGCCGGCUUCGGCAUUCCGGCCCCGCGCCGUACUUUUCAGCAGCGCAGCGCUGCCGUGUCCCCAACGUCGGCUGCGCCGCCAGCAUCGGUCGUCACACCUUCCUCGCCUUCCAUCCUCUCCACGACGAUGUCGCCCACUGCUCCGCAGCAGCCCCACUCGAUUCGUACUCGCCACGUGCCCCUGCCGCCGGCACUCUCCAUGGAAGCGACCGAGAGCGGGUUGACGAGCGUGGCGAUGCCGACCACCACCACGCCCGCCCCAAGCUCGCCGCCCCACGCCGCUGGCGUCUACGCGCACACGCCGCUCCGCAGCUUUAGAGAGACACCUGUGCAGACACCACGCCACCGACAAAGCCCCCUAUCUGCGACGCAGAUGGGCAAUUGCUUGAGCGACACCUACACGGCUGUGCACACCCCGUACAUCGGGCAUCAGCACCAGCAGCGGCGCUUGCCCAUGAACCAUGGUGACGUCCAGGGUGCCUACCACCCGAACGGCGACUUCUAUCAGGAGUACAGCUACAGCGACCCCAUGGGCCCGAUGGAGCUGAACAUGCACCCCAUCUCGUCUUCGGCGUCGUCAGAGGCGGUUCACGAGUACGGCAACACUGGCGGCUCUGAGCUCAGUGCUUACCGGGCUUGCAACAACCAGUGCGAUGUAGCGCCACUCUGGCAGCGACGCAUGGAGCGCCACGGAGCGACAACGGCGUAUUCAGCCGCCGUAGCGGCCCCUGCUGGGGUGCCACAUCUUUCGCCGUGCGCCGCUUUCGGUGCGCCGUUGGCAUACGCGAGCGCCGAAGGCGCGCUCUCCAUGGGUGCGGCCUUGCACCCGGAAAUCUGGGAGACUACCUCGUCACAGCAGGCGAAGUCUGCGGUGUCCUCGCCGUACGUGCUAUGUCCCCAGGCCAUGAUCGUGAAUAGCGGCAGCCAGACCACCACCCCGAGCAGCGGUGUGUCGGGGUCGGUGCGGUACCGCAACAACCCGUACAGCAUGCGCCUUGUUCGCACCGUCGCGCUGGAUUCAUCACCGUGCGUGGGCAGCUGAGGUAGUGGCGCACACCGGCUGUAUUUACGAUGAGUGUGAUGUGCAAGCCUAAUAGAGAAGGUGAGGGAUGUGAACGCGUUGCUCCGCCCACCUCUGCUCACCACCACCCUCUUCUCCAACCGUGCUUUGCCCGGCACUCUCCAUCCACCUCGCACGCCUCACCGUGCAUUUCCCUCUAGCUCUUUUCCAAGGUGCAUGGAUGGCUUUCCUCGUAUCUAAACUGCCAUAGUGAAUGCGCGCAGGCGUAUAUAUAUAUAUAUUUGUGCUCAUGUGUUUAAGUGUGUAUGAACCCUUCUUCUCGUGGUCUUUACCCCACCCCUCUCUGUUGUGGCGUUACAGCUGAUGUGUGUAUAAGACUUCUUCACCUUAGUUACGCGCUCUUGCUUUAUGUUUUUGUUGUUUCCGCAUGAUUCCACCAUGGCUGCUUUCCCCUUGUCGAUGCCCCCACUGCUUUGCGCUGCUCACGUGUGUUGGUUCUCUGCAGCCUCCUCUACCGUGUAGUGUCUUGUGUUUGCUUCCUCCUUUUACAGUGAAAGCGCUUCUGCGCUGUUUGGCUUCCACCGCCACCGGCCAUUCUCCUCUUCGUCUCCCGAGCAGUGAGGGAGGGAGAACAUGCGCGACCAAAUAUGAUUGAGGGCAUGCACGUGCGCGCUGGAGGGCAUAAGUGAGUGUGUUUUGCAACAACGGUGACUGAUCUCUCUCUUACGGAGCACCUAUUUUUCUUUUUUUUCGCGAUGUGCGUGCGUGUCUAUAUGGUUUGCGCGUUUUUGCUACCUCUGUCUUAGUGCUUGCCACUCCUGUCCUUCUCGUUCUAUAUGAUCUCUACUACCGAUUCCACGCCACCGCCUCCUCUUUUGGGUUUUCGUUUUCUUUGGUCCCUUUUCCCUUCCGUUUUUUUUUGCGUUCCUUUUUGUGUGGUAGCCUGUUGGUCUGCUAAUCAGUCUUGCAUGUCGUUUGCAGUAGUGUGUUCACUGUCUUUUUUUUUGUUUUCCGGAGAGCUCUUUUUGUUUUCUCUUUGCAGGUCUGUAAUUUCAUGUGCGUAUGCGUAUGUAUCUAUCUGUGUGUGGGUAAUGCCAUCUCUCUGUCUCGCCGGCUCCCGUUGUCCUUUGACCCGUCUCAUUCCCAUGGUGGCGCGGGGAAGUGGCACCAUCAUGUGUGUCUCCGUUUUUUUGUUCAGCUCUUCCGUCUUCCUUCCCUUCCUAAUGCUUCUCCCCACCCAUACCGUUCUUUCGGUCAACGCACAGGCGAGUGACAGGCAGGAUGAAGGGCAGAGGAGGAGAUAGAAAAGUGUGCGCCUGAAAGAUGGUCGCUCUUUGCUGUUGUGUACGUGCUUCGAUGCUUUCUUAACCCCUUUUCGUCCCUUUUUUUCUUCUCUCACUCUGCCGUUCAGGUACAUCGUUUGCAUUUAUUACGCGUGCAUGCGCAUGCGCACGCUCCUUCUUGUUUGGGGGAUGUGCACGCAUGCAUCUGAGUGUCUGUGUCUGUGUGUGCGUGUAUGUCUCUCCCAUCUCUCUCUCUCGUGCGUGCCCUCGUUGAAGCGGUGAUGGCGGAAUGUGCACGCUGUGGUUGGAUAGACGUCUAUGUGCGUCUCUUCUCUCCUGUGAGUAUGUGACGAAGACGUAGUCGUCUUCAUGAGCCCCUUACUGUGCCUUCUACCUUGCUAUCUCUCUCUUCCUUCCUCGCUUGCUCUUGUUUUUUUUUCUUUCUUGUCUCUUGUAUGUGACGGGCCCCUUCCCUGACCCUCCCUCUCUCCUUCUGCUCUAACACGCACGCUUGCUUCCGUCUUUUUUUUUCGUACUUUCUUUACGACUCGGUGCUUUUUUGUUCUUCCUGUUCUGAGCGUCUUGCAGAUGUUGACUUCUUUCUCGCGCACACGUACAUAAACACGCUGUUCCCUCAACAUAGAGGCUCCCUUCUCUUCUCGCGAUUCGAAUACAUACAUGUACAUAUAUAUAUAUAUUGAACCCUAUCGUGUUUCCGUACAACGGGCGAGUUAUCAAUGAAAGAGGAAUUCGGUGGAGCUGAUCAGCUUACAAUCACGGGGCUCUCUGUUCUCUGCCCCCCUCCUCCUCCUCCUCCCCCUCCACAUCCUUCGACAACUUCCACCAAAGCUCCACUUUUUUUUUCGUGCUCCCGGCUGCUAUGUGUUGAUGUGGUUUGCUUUUCGACUCCCGCCCUUUUAUCUCUCUUGCCUCCGUGCGACACAGCUUCUUCUACAGUGUGUGUGUGUGUGUGUUUCAUCUUUCUUUUGUUUCUUGGAUUUGAAUUAUCUUCUCUUUUUUUUUGCCCCUCUACUCUUCACAAUGGUUUUUCGUCAAAACUCAGUAACAUAUAUGUAGACCCGACCGUUGCUUUCUUGUGUGGUGUGCUGCGUACGCGUACACAUGCGUUCUGUUUUUUUUUUUUGCCUUGCUUAUCGCUUAUCUGUUUCGGUCAAUAUUUUUGUGUGUGUGCGUGUGUGUGGUCAUGCUCCAAUGCUCUUGCCUCCCCUUAGCUUCUUCUUUUUUGUUUAAAAUGUAUAUAUAUAUUAUAUUUGUGUGCCAUGUUUCUUUGUACGUUAUUUCAUGCUUGCGUGUAUCACACAUAAAUGCGGCUUGCUCAUCUCUGUUGUUUUUCUUCCUCCCUUUAUUUUCUUCUUUUUGCUUUCGGUGUGCUCUUCCCCACUUGCACCUCUUUCUUUCUUCCCUUUCACAACCGCGCGCACACUCUCUUCUUAUGUUUUGCGUUCGCUCUCUCUCGGCAGCUUUGUAUGUGUGUGUGCCUUGUUCAUGACCUCCUCAUUUCUUUUUAUGCCCCCUCCCCUUCCUCCCUCUUUUAGGUAUAUUUCUGAUCUCUCCCAUUUUUCAUUUUUCCCGACUUGUUGUUAUUGCGCUUCUAUUUUUUUUUGUUUCUUUUCCCAACGUGACGUGAUAAGGAACUCGUCUUUCAUGAAUGUGAUCCUUUUCUCCUCCCUCACCUUUUUUCGCUUUUUAGGUUGAACUGCUCUUCUCAUGCGCGUUGGUGAGUCUACUUCCACCCUCGCCCUUUCCUUCCCUACGCGACUGUUUCGUUUCGUGUGUCGUUUGUUUGCAUGCGCGGACGUGGGUACCCUCCCCCUUUCCAUUGGCUGUUGUGUAUGCGCAGCGACGAGAAUGUGCCCUUGUGUGCGUCUUGUCGUUGGGACAUGCGUGCUUUGUUCGCUUUGCGGUUGUGCGCGUGCUCUACGAUUGCCGAAUCGUCUGCCCCCCCCCCCUUCCCUCCUACUCCUCCCCCAAGCCAUCUCCUCCGUGUGCUUGGCGACGGCUUUUAGUUCACUCCCUCAUAUCGCAUGAGGGCACGCGGAAGCGGGAGUCUUUUGUAGUUUCGUGUUUUACUAUAUGUGUGGUCGGCGUUUUGUUUUUCGGUUUGCAGGCUGCGCUGUGUGCUCUGCGAAUAUAUAUGUUCUGCGUCGAUGACAUAUAUAUAUAUAUAUAUAUACAUGCAUAGGUAUACAUAUGUAUAUGUGCAAAUGUGCUCACAUAUUUCUUUUUCUGCGCUGUGCCGUUUUCCCUUCCGUGGCUUGCCUUGACUGACUUCACUGGGACGUUUUCCCCCCUUUGUUUUGCUUUUCUUUGUUUUUUUUUUUGUAAUUCAAGGUUUUCUUUUUCUUUCUCGCUCACGCGCGCGUGUAUGCUGUCAUUGUUUACUUUGUUGUUCUCUUGAUUGACGCCCUCCUCCACUCUCCCUCUUUAUUUCUCCUCGCACUCGCGCUGUGUGCUUUUCUAAGUCGUCAGAGCCAAGCUUGCGUUUGUAUGUUCAUCCCUCUAGUUGAAGUCGUGAUGUACCUGUUUAUCUUUUUUUUUUCGUUGUUUCUUUUAGUGUGCUGGCCUUUUCCCUUUUCUCCACCUUUCGGCUUUGGUGUUUUGUGUAUGCGUGGGCCUCGCAUCGCUGUGCUACCACGGCUAUGUAAACAGGCGAUCUCUUAAAAGUAGAUGGUGCGCGCGCACUCGACUACCCGCACCUACACAACCGCCCACCGAGAGGCACACACAUGCGCACGAUUCUGUGUUCUCUCGCUUAUGCGACUCACGCCACUCCAGGUAUCAUUUAAUGCGUUUUUUUCAUCGUUCUUUGCUCCGUCUCGCUUUCACAGGUAUGCUUGUGCGUGGAAGUCCUCUCCCGUCUAUGUUUCCUCCUCCCUUUCUCCAGUCUCUUAUUGCUUUUAUUUUUUCUGCUUUUUUGCCUUUGCGCUUUCUACUUUAGGGGGUGGAAGGGGGGGGACAAACAGCUGUGCAUGCUCACUCCUUGUCCUCUCUGCUGUUCUCUGCAUCUGCGGAUUGGGACGUGUAUGCUGUCUGUGUGCCGCAGCACCGCCAAUAUCGAGCCGAGACCCGGCGAAUAGAGACUCAAGAACAGAAAAGGAGAACACUGGCGACGCGAACGCGCCCGCACGCACUUACACACACACACACUGGACGGAAACUGCAAAAUUGUUUUCAUGUUUGUUCUUUGCGCGUAUAUGUGUAAGCGUGUCUGGUAGAUCUAGCGCAUCUGUCUGUCUGUCACACCACCUCCUUUUCUUUUCGUUUUUCGUUCGUGCUAUGUUUCGCUCCUCGCGCAUCUCCGCGUCUCCUUUUCAGCCUCUUUGGUAUUUCCCGAAGGUAGGCUAUGACGGGUGCCCAUUAUCUGCCUUCCUCAAAACAGAAAGCAAGGGACCCCCUCCAAUACGUACAGAGGUAGCUGCUACGCCCCUCCCCCUCUUUCCUGUUUUUCCACUCCCGUACACCUACAGAGCUCUCUGUUGCUGUGAGGUGGGAACACACACGCUGCUGAUCUCUCUUUUCCUGCAUCUUUUACCUCCCGCACGUGUAUUUUUCUUUCCUCCUUUUACACCACCGCCAACACCCUACUCUUACCCGUGCAACAACGCAUUCAUUUUUUUCACCCUUCAUUGUGUGUCUUGUGUACCCUUGGUGGCCCCUUCGACACACCUGUACGCUUCGCGGUUUCUCCAGAGCAUGUUUUCCCUUUGAUUGAUACGGUACAUCCUUAUCUUUCUCUUGUUUCCUCUUUUCCAUCACCUUUUUAUAUGCUUGUUGUUGUUACUUCCCUCUUCUUUGACUCCACUUCUUUUUCUUUCCGUUGUUAAUUUUGGCUAGUGAUGCUGAGGAGACCUCCUUUCUCGAUUUUUUCUUGACUCCUGUUGUCGCUUGAAUGCUCCUUCUCUACAUCUCUCCUACGCACGCCCGCGAAACGCUCUCUGUCUGUCUGUCAAGUGUGUGCGUGUGUCUCUCUAGUAUUUCUGGUCUCUUUUGUCCUAGUCCUCAGUGUUCUAUUCUCUCUUAGCGUGUUUUUUUUUGCUUGUGGACCGUAUCGUACUUCGCUCUACCAAGUCUAUCACGUGGAAAGCAAACCAUGAAGGCGGACGCUCCAAAGGCGCACACGCACUCCCCUGCGGUCCCUCGUCCACCCUCUUCAUGUGAUUCCCCUCUUCUAGAGAGAAAAGUGCAAAGCCAUCACACGCCUCUUUUUCACCAACCCCUCCCCUCGUUCACUUCCUUCGUGCGUCUCAGCUCCUCUUCGUCGUGACACUUGAGCUGACCCUUUCCACCCCUUUUUUUUCGAUUCGCGACACGCUUUUGUGUCCCUGAGCCUGCACGAUCAAAAGAAGUGGUUGAUUGCCGUGUGUCUUUUACCCCUCUUUUCCUGUGCGCGUGUGUGCGUCUUCGCUUCUACUCGUACCCCCUCUCUUUGUACGUGUGCCUGCGUGUGCGCGCACGCAUGCGUGAGGAUACGGGGCAAGCAAGUGCGCGCAGGGUGCCUUUCUUCCCUUGAAGACCGGGGCGAAAUCAAGCCCGCGUUUCUCACUGGCAUCAAGUCGUCCUCCCCGCCUCCAUUUUCCCCUAUAAAUGUUUUGCCUCCUUCUCUUUCGGCCUCCCUCCCCCCACACACACGGCCCUUCCCCCUCCCCUGCUGUCUUUUUCCCGAGUCCGUCUAUCUCUUGCUUUCCUUUCUUCAUUCUUUUUGUUCCGAUUUCCACCGUUCUCGCUUCGGUUGUUCUACCCCUCUCUUCGUCUGCUGAUUUGCCUUGCCAAUAAUGUGAAAGGUAGUGGGUGGCAGGAGGUGGUGGUGGAGCGACAAGAGUACCGAGACGAUACUAUCCAGGCAUGGAAAAAAAGUAAGAGGGAUACAAGACGCACCUGCCCUCUCCCCAAACUCACCCACACGUGCACACGCAGCUUUUUUAUACAGGUAGCGCCGGUGAGAGCGGAGAGGGAGAUGUGUGGUAGCUGCUGCUGGCAUGCUGUAGGUUCUAGUUCCAUCUCGGUUCCGGCGUGCUCUCUCUUUCUUCACUCGCAGAUAUGUUGACUUUCGUUCUCCCAUUUUUGUUGACUAGCUUCUUUUUCCACUGCGUGCCCUUGGGCCACGCUGAACGUCCUCUCUCCCCUCAUUUAUCCUCUCUGUCCACGGGAUAGCUGGAAAGGGAAGAACACGAAACCGAAGAAAACGUUUUUUGUUUGCAGACUGCAACAGCGGUCUAACGAGGACGAUGGAAGCAAAACGAAAGUGCACAUGGCUGGGUGGACACCGAACGUUUUUCCUCUGUGUGUCUAUGCAUUGGAACUGUUCUGUCUUGAUCCGCAGCUGUACCCUAGAGAUCAGCUGCGCCGAUGUCUGCGGAGAAGGGGCGCGGAAGACCCCAGAAGAAAGAGAAGGUCAGCUGGCACGUUUUUUUUACUGUAUUUUGCUCAUGCGUGCACUUUCCGUUCGUGCACAUCUACAAGUCUCCCCCGCGCCGCCACUGAACCACAACCGUCAUUUUACUUUUGUUGUGUGUGUGUGUGUGUGUAUGUGUGUGCGCGUUUGAAUACCUCUUUGAUGCGCGCGCCUUGCGUACCCGAACCUUCCUUUUUUUUUCUGGUUGCUGUUGUUGCCCCCCCUUCCCCAUCCUCUCCCCCUUUUUUUGUUUGCUGUUGCUCGUGACAGUGACCUGUGUCCAAAGUACUCCUCCGCUCUUUUUUUUUGCCUUUUCUGGGGACUUUGGCGCCGCCUACUCUGCGUGUAAUUUUUUUUUGUGUUGUUUUCUCAUGCACACUUUGCUGAUCCAUCACAGCGACGAGUGCGGUGAUGUGGGGGUGAUGUGUAUGUGUGUUCGUGCUCAUCUACAUCCCCCUUUGCCUGCAUAUCUAUGUAUAUGUCUGCAUACGUGCGCCAUGUGUGGCGGCACUUUUGAAUCUCUCCCCGAACACACGCGCGCACAAGCGUUCGCCUUCCUCGCCCGCCCCUCGUCUACGGUGGCUCCUCUCUCUCUCUGUUCCUCUUUCGUUUUGCCUCCUCCUUCGCCGCUUUUCUUCUUGGCUCUGCAGCUGAAGGCAGCCACAGCACACAAGCACAUGCACACAGGCAUGCUGUCUCUGGUGUUCUUCAACGAGAAGAGCUAGAAGAAAGCCACUGAGCGAAAAUCGGAGUGUGGGGGGGGGGCGAAAAGGGGUGCGGGGUGGGCAGAGGCAGCAGAACGCUGGCGAGACGCAAGGGUGGCGGAAUAAGUGAAGAAGAAAAAGCGCGCACACACAUGCGUAUACACAGACGCAAUCGGCACCAUCCGUUCUCAUUUUCUCCCUAUGUCAAUAAGCGAAGAGAGGGAUGAGAAAAUACAAACCAACACGGGUAGGGGCAACAGCAACACAGCCGCUUGCUUUCUCUCUCUACCUAUCCUUCUCCUGCACCUCCGCCCUCUCUCCUUCGCACCUGUUCUUGUAUCUUUUUCUGUUGGCCUGUAAUCAUGAUUCUUUUUUUUUCAUCUCCAGCGCUUCAAGGGGCUUGUCCUUGUCAACUUUGCGUUACAUUUUUUGUCUUCCUUUCUUGGAGAGCUUACUCUGGGCAACAACAACAAACACAAGAAAAACAAGCGAAAAAAAAAACGAUAUGGAAAAGCCCUUCCUCUCCCUUCACCUCUCGCCUCCCCCUCACAAAAAAAAAACAGCAGAAAACAACAAGAAACAAACAAACAACCAAAGAAGGACAACAACGACGAGGGAUACUUUGUUUCGCAUUACAAAAAAAAAGACACGAAAGCCGAACGAUGGUGGAAUCUGGUUAGUCUUUGGUCUUUUGAAACGUCUCCCCUUUCUUUCCAUCUUUUUCCCUUUUGCCUCCGAGGCUUGUGUCGUUUUUUUUUUUCAACUCCUUUCUUUCUCUUUCAUCUCUCUUGCUGCGCCAUAUAUAUAUAUAUAUAUAUGUAUAUAUAUGCACUUAGCGCGUGCGUGUUGGUUGUUCCUGCGAGCUCUGCCUUCCCCAUCUGUAUGUUUUCAGUUUCGUUGUUGUGUGUUGUUUUUUGGCGGGAGGGGAUUGCCUGUAGUUCUUCUCCCCAUCUUGUCAUUGUUCUUCGUACCUCUUCUUCCAUCUUUUUGUGCCUUUUUCAGUUUUGUUUUUCCUUUUCCGAUGGGGUUCUCUUCCGUUGAAGUUUGCGUGCUUGUGUGUCGAUGCUUUUGUAUGUAUUUAUGUGUGGCAUGUAUGCAUGUUCUCGUGCGCGUCGUUAGUAAAGUUUGUCGUGUGCCAUGUGUGUUGUGUCCUUAGUAUCCCAGUGUGCGUGCAUAUGUGUGUGUUUGUGCGUGGAUUCGUGCUUGUGUCUCUCUCUGUCUCCACCUUUAUCCUUGUUUUUGUCUUGUGUAAGUGUGUGUGUGUGUGUGUGUGUGUGCGUAUGCGCACUCGCGCAACUGCUGAUAAUCAAAGCCCACGUCCAUGCACACACGCACACGCACACGCGCAGGCAGAUAUGUAUGAAGACACACAGAAGCACAAGCAGCCACGGAACAACGUGCACACAACCGAACUCACAACAGAAAGAAAGCGUGCAUAUACAAGCGCGCGUUGACGCUUUUUUUUCUUGUCUUCUGUGUGCCGCCGUUUUUAUCCCUCUUUGAGUUGUUUGUUUAUUUUCUUUCCGCAAUGUUGUCGUUCACCUUCGCUGUUUUAUUUUUCUGUGCGAGCUUGGCAUGCUGGCGUUCUGCAGUGCGGUUGUGCUUCACGUUUGGGUUUUGGUUUUGUGUGGGUGUGCGGGUGUGCGGCAUCUAUGUGCAUGUCUCUUUCUUUCUGUGUGUGCUUGCGUAUGGUUAGUUGGGCUGGCGGUUUGCUUUUAAAGGCUUUGCUGCUUGAUUUUGGCUGAUUCUGUUCAUCUUCGCUACUCGGAUGCAUUUUUUUUUUCUGUGUCUUCUCUCUCUAGGGUGCAACAGAGCCUACGCGAACAAGAGCGAGAGCGAGCGGAGCGCGACGCCGCCGUCACAGAGGAAGUUGCCCAUGCCGUAGCGCGUGGCCGUUGAGGUAGUGUUGCGGCUUCUUGUCUCUUCUUCUAUGUUCUUUGCGUUGCUCUCCGGAUGAGGAGAAGGCUGAAAACGCGAAGGCGCUGGUAACACAAGCACAGAAAAGGAUGAAAUGGCUGAAGGUGACAUACACGUCGGAAACAAACAAGCAAACAAAGACAUCAGCAUAAACAUAAGCGGCUUGUCUCUCUCUGUGUGUGGGGAAGGGGAGGGUGUGGCGCUCUUCUUCGAAGCAAAGGUGCAACUAGGGGCCGCUUGCGAGUGCGUGCAGAUUGCAUGGUCGGAUGCGAUGGCGUUGCUUCGGGACAGAGAGAGAUACAACUGCUGCCUUCCUGUGUAGGCGCGCCGCAAGAGAAGGAAGGGAGUGAGGCUGGCGGGGGGCACUUCGGCCUAUUCGGCUGUGUAUAGUGACAGAGAGGCGCAUAUGGGAGCAGUAUGGUGCGCGGUCACCUUCUUGUCCUCCUGCGCGUUGCCCUACACGCUCGAUGCUACCGCUCUGUAACGAUCCCGUGUUCCACUGGACAGUUCUUGACGCGGUGCUUGACUAACAUACGGUCACCCUUCGCCAAACAGGCGUGUAGGGCGUGCCUCUCACCUCCCUCGCCUCGACAUUGUGGACGUCUCUCUUCUCCAUCAAGUGGAAGGCACACCGUGCUCAGAUUCCCUAUCUGAACUUCACACUCUCCCUCUAUCACCUUAUUUUCACGUUUUGUCGAUGCACUCGCUGCUCUGAACGGGGUCUUUGCGUGAAG